rnacentral:rRNA from 1 species
UGGGGAAUAUUGCACAAUGGACGGAAGUUUGAUGCAGCGACGCCGCGUGGAGGGUGUAGGCCUUCGGGUUGUGAACUCCUUUUUCUCGCGAAAAAGGCACAGUUUUGGCUGUGUUGUUGGUAGUGGGGGAAGAAGCGCCGGCUAACUACGUGCCAGCAGCCGCGGUAAUACGUAGGGCGCGAGCGUUUUCCGGAUUUAUUUGGCGUAAAGAGCUCGUAGGUGGUUCGUCGCGUCUGUCGUGAAAGCCAGCAGCUUAACUGUUGGUGGGCGGUGGGUACGGGCGGGGGUGAGUGCGGUAGGGGUGAGUGGAAUUCCUGGUGUAGCGGUGGAAUGCGCAGAUAUCAGGAGGAACACCGAUGGAGAAGGCAGGUCACUGGGCCGUUACUGACACUGAGGAGCGAAAGCGUGGGGAGCGAAAAGG